AUAAUGGGUCAGCGACUUAUAUUCUGUAGCAAGGUUAACCGAAUAGGGGAGCCGAAGGGAAACCGAGUCUUAACUGGGCGUUAAGUUGCAGGGUAUAGACCCGAAACCCGGUGAUCUAGCCAUGGGCAGGUUGAAGGUUGGGUAACACUAACUGGAGGACCGAACCGACUAAUGUUGAAAAAUUAGCGGAUGACUUGUGGCUGGGGGUGAAAGGCCAAUCAAACCGGGAGAUAGCUGGUUCUCCCCGAAAGCUAUUUAGGUAGCGCCUCGUGAAUUCAUCUCCGGGGGUAGAGCACUGUUUCGGCAAGGGGGUCAUCCCGACUUACCAACCCGAUGCAAACUGCGAAUACCGGAGAAUGUUAUCACGGGAGACACACGGCGGGUGCUAACGUCCGUCGUGAAGAGGGAAACAACCCAGACCGCCAGCUAAGGUCCCAAAGUCAUGGUUAAGUGGGAAACGAUGUGGGAAGGCCCAGACAGCCAGGAUGUUGGCUUAGAAGCAGCCAUCAUUUAAAGAAAGCGUAAUAGCUCACUGGUCGAGUCGGCCUGCGCGGAAGAUGUAACGGGGCUAAACCAUGCACCGAAGCUGCGGCAGCGACACUAUGUGUUGUUGGGUAGGGGAGCGUUCUGUAAGCCUGUGAAGGUGUGCUGUGAGGCAUGCUGGAGGUAUCAGAAGUGCGAAUGCUGACAUAAGUAACGAUAAAGCGGGUGAAAAGCCCGCUCGCCGGAAGACCAAGGGUUCCUGUCCAACGUUAAUCGGGGCAGGGUGAGUCGACCCCUAAGGCGAGGCCGAAAGGCGUAGUCGAUGGGAAACAGGUUAAUAUUCCUGUACUUGGUGUUACUGCGAAGGGGGGACGGAGAAGGCUAUGUUGGCCGGGCGACGGUUGUCCCGGUUUAAGCGUGUAGGCUGGUUUUCCAGGCAAAUCCGGAAAAUCAAGGCUGAGGCGUGAUGACGAGGCACUACGGUGCUGAAGCAACAAAUGCCCUGCUUCCAGGAAAAGCCUCUAAGCAUCAGGUAACAUCAAAUCGUACCCCAAACCGACACAGGUGGUCAGGUAGAGAAUACCAAGGCGCUUGAGAGAACUCGGGUGAAGGAACUAGGCAAAAUGGUGCCGUAACUUCGGGAGAAGG
rnacentral:rRNA from 1 species